ensembl:snoRNA
CCCCCCCAGUUCCCUUUCCCAUCAGAUCACAGCACUGGUCUGGGUGCUUGUGAAAGGAGGAAAAGGAACAUUGAAGCUGGCCCUCAGUGCUCUUGGAGCUCGGCUAGUUUCAAACAAGG